GUAGGGAAUCUUCCGCAAUGGACGCAAGUCUGACGGAGCAACGCCGCGUGAGUGACGAAGGUUUUCGGAUCGUAAAACUCUGUUGUGAGGGAAGAACAAGUACCAACUAACUACUGGUACCUUGACGGUACCUCACCAGAAAGCCACGGCUAACUACGUGCCAGCAGCCGCGGUAAUACGUAGGUGGCAAGCGUUGUCCGGAAUUAUUGGGCGUAAAGCGCGCGCAGGCGGUCCCUUAAGUCUGAUGUGAAAGCCCACGGCUCAACCGUGGAGGGUCAUUGGAAACUGGGGGACUUGAGUGCAGAAGAGGAAAGUGGAAUUCCAUGUGUAGCGGUGAAAUGCGUAGAGAUGUGGAGGAACACCAGUGGCGAAGGCGACUUUCUGGUCUGUAACUGACGCUGAGGCGCGAAAGCGUGGGGAGCAAACAGGAUUAGAUACCCCUGUAGUCC
rnacentral:rRNA from 1 species